CUCUCUGUCACCUCACAGUAGUCGUUGCCGGUCGCGGGUGUCCGGGCGCGAGCAGCGCAGGGCCGCCUCUCCCCCGCCCUCAGGCCGGGCCCCGGCUCGGUCCCCCGCUCCCUCUUCUCCCCACCCCGGUCGGGUACCGGAAGGUCCAAGCCGCUGCCGGGUGCCCGAGGGCCAUCGUGGCCGCCGCCACGGGUCCUGAUGGAGCCGCCAAAUCUCUAUCCGGUGAAGCUCUACGUGUACGACCUGUCCAAGGGCCUGGCCCGCCGGCUCAGCCCCAUCAUGCUGGGGAAACAACUGGAAGGCAUCUGGCACACCUCUAUAGUUGUACACAAGGAUGAGUUCUUCUUCGGCAGCAGCGGUAUUUCCAGCUGUACCCCGGGAGGGACAUUGCUUGGGCCCCCAGACUCUGUGGUUGAUGUGGGAAACACAGAAGUCACAGAAGAAAUCUUUCUGGAAUACCUGUCCUCCCUGGGGGAGUCUCUGUUCCGUCACAGUCACGCCACAUAGAUGCUGCUGGCCCUCUCAUCUGCUCUUCAAACCUCUCUCCAUGUACAGAGGAGAAGCCUACAACCUCUUUGAACACAACUGUAACACCUUUAGCAAUGAAGUGGCGCAGUUCCUGACUGGGCGAAAGAUCCCUUCUUACAUCACCGACCUGCCCUCAGAAGUUCUUUCCACGCCCUUUGGACAAGCACUUCGGCCCUUCCUGGACUCCAUUCAGAUCCAGCCUCCAGGAGGGAACUCUGUGGGCAGACCCAAUGGCCAAAGCUAACAGGACUGCACGGGACCACCCACCUCGCCAGGGCUUUUCCUUUUUAAACAAAACAAACCCUACCAGAUUUCUAUUUUAUAAUUUUACAUCAGAGCUAACAGGGACGGCUUUUUAAAUUUCCCAGGGAAGGAGUUCUUCAGGCUGCAUGUAGGACAAUGCUCCUGAGAAAGAUCGAAUGCCAUCCCUUCUAAUAGUAUUAUACUAAUUUAUUAAGGCUGUCUUGUCUGUGAGUUCACUUUUGACGCUGUUGCCUAAGCGUCCUCCACACUGGAGAGAGAGGGUGCUUGUUUAAAGAGAAAGCAAGAGUCACAGUCUGGGAGAACCCCAUCUCGGACCCUCUUUCCAGAGAACACCCACAUUCCACCCAGGUUGCCACCCUGUGGGACCCAGGUGAGUUUUAUACUGUCCAUUCCCCUGGAGCAGUCACCUUCUAGCAGUAACUGAAGCAAAGGACUUGGAGUACAUGGGGCAGCUGGAGGCUCCUCACUCAAGCUAAGUGACCUCUUUAACCACAAGUUUACCCUCCUCCCGAGACAAGGCCACUCAUCACAGCCCAGCCGGAGCAGCCGCAGCGUCAGGAUCAAAGGAGACUGGCAGCAGGUGUGAGGCCAGAGAAAACAGGAGAAAGCCAUUCCUCCUCCUCCUCCUAUCUGAGUGCCAACCCUCGAUGCCCACCCCUAAGCUGCUCUUCCUCAGCGUAGCUUGACCUGUCACCUUUAAUAAAGGUCUAGGCUGCAGCAGCAGAGACACAGGCCUUCUGUCUGAGAAUUAGUUAUUUAUAGUCAAUAGAGCCAGCCACUCACACCCUUAUGGGUUUGUCAGCUAGGGACUAGGGGGACAUGAUUGUUCUCCCAAAACAAGUCUCUGAUGUAGAAAAUACCAUAAUGAUGUAGAUUCAUGGUGGGAAGAAAAUUUGGAGUUGUCUCCAGUAGGGACUUUCACAUUAUCCUUAAUACGUCUCCAUUGUCAUUCUGACCUUAUGGGGUGUGGUUGGGGUGUGAGUGGGCGUUUUCUUAAUGAUAUGCUGCUAGGAUUUCAUGGGCAGCAAUAGCCUAGAAGUCUAUGAUCUAGACUCCAGAUUCCAGAGGGACCUUAAGGUUCCCUUCUGUGGUGUCAGUCUUCUACUAGCUAAUAUGGGAAACUGGAUAUGGAGAAGGGAGCUCAGAGCAGGCACCUGAGACUCAGCUCCACACCCAUGGGGAGCCCCCCACCGUGGCUUCCUGCCACUUCUGAAACUUGAGCCCACUUGUUCCUUUUGGGGUAGGCCUUUCCUCCCUGAAAAGCCCCUAUUGGCUCCCUUGCCCCUACCCUGCAGGCUUUGCCACUAGCCAUAGCAGUGGCAUCAUGGAGAUCUCUGCCUCAGAGCUGACCUGUUGUCUGACCAGAGAGAGCUAUGUCCACCUAGGGUGUCGAGUGGUGUUUGGGAACUUGAAGGUCACAGUCAGAAAGGUCUCAGGACUCAACAGUGUACAGGUGUAUGUGGCUGUCACAACGUAGAGUGGAAACCAACAGAGACUGUUUAGUGUUGGUCUCUUUGGCAGAAUAGGGCUUAGAAGGUUCAGUGUUUAAAGCUUGGUAUCUGGGAAGGCAGAGGUUGCUGGAAGCCAUCACUUUUUCCUUUGCCUGGCCCCAGCUGGUAGCAUCUCUGCCCAGAGCUCUGUCCUUAGGGUGCUCUCACAUGGCCAUUCUCUGUUUUUCUCCUCAGCAGUAACCAUGGUAUUCUGAGACAUUUGCCUGAGGAUUUUAGUCACUUAAUUGCUUGAAUUAUCUCCUGUCAUGUCUAGCAGCCAUCCAUGCCAACGUCUGUGGCCAUGGCUAGCAGAGAGAUGGGAAGACUGGACAGUCUCUCUGGUCUCCUUUCCCUAUGCAAGUUCCGUUGUCACCAGAAUCCCAGGCCAGGAACCCCACAUCCCACCUUUACAUUUCUCUGUCCCAGUACCUCAGGAGCAUACUGUUCAUGAGCAGGUGACUCCCCCUGGGCAUGUACAAGCAAGCUGAGAGGAAAAGGAGUCACGUGGUUCAUGCCACAUAGUGGACAGCCCUGUCCAUUGGUCAGUUGGUCAAGGGACAAGGGAGGUGGAGGCAUGAGACCCUUGUCCGCUCCUAGACUGAAGGGUUUCUUUGAGAUUCCUUCAUGACUUCCUUGAAGUCAAACUAAUGUCUAAUACGGAGGUGUUUGCUGCUUUUCAUUGGUGUUUUUUCUAAUGCAAUAAACUCAUGUCUGCCUGC